UACGAGGGGUCCAAGCGUUGUUCGGAAUCAUUGGGCGUAAAGCGAGUGCGGGUGGCUUCUUAAGUCAGGAGUGAAAGCCCAGGGCUUAACCCUGGAAGUGCUUUUGAUACUGGGAAGCUUGAGUGUGGGAGAGGGUGCUAGAAUACCUAAUGUAGCGGUGAAAUGCGUAGAGAUGUGGAGGAACACCGAUGGCGAAGGCAGCCCUUCUGGGCCAACACUGACGCUCAUGCACGAAAGCGUGGGGAGCAAACAGG
rnacentral:rRNA from 1 species